UCCAUAUUUGCAUUAUCAUAGAUUGUUUUGUGGCUUUCUAUGUAACUAUUUGCAUGUUUCUCUUUUACAUUGCUUAUUGUUCAUAUUGCUAUAGGAUAUAUGAAAUGCUGAGUAAAUAGAGCAAAAGAAAGGAUAUUGUAAUUUGGAAACUUUUUUGCUUCUUUCUAUUUGCAGUUUCCAGUGAAAAACUCACCUGAGCUUAUCCCAGUAACUGCUAUUAGAAAUUAGGACAAGUCUAGUGUAAUUCAUUGUUUUAAGGGUUUCAAAUGUUGUAGUGUUCAAGAUUCAUAAUUUUUUUUGGGGGGUUAGUUAUUUUACAUGUGAGUGAGUGCGUGCUAAUUUUGUUUGUGGAUCACUAGUUUAGGCUAGACUCACGGGCAUGACAUGGAAAUAUAUGAGUUUUCUUAACACUCUUUGAUUGCUAAUGCUUGUGAAUUAUCACUUAAAAUGGAAGCUCAACAAACAUGGUGGCAUACUUGUCAUGCCAUUAAAUAUGUCAAACACCAAGCGGAGAUGGUUUUAUGGCAUAAGCCAUGCAUUUAAGAGUGAAACCGGUCAAUCAUAAUAGAAAUUGAUGAAGCAGAAAGGCUUACUUCUGAAGUUUUGUGUCUAUCUCCACAUUGAUGAUGGAAGAGUAUCAAAACUUCCUGUGGGUUCCUUCUUUUUCCUACCCUUGAAGGGGAAUACACACAUUCAAGGUGUUUCAAUCCUCCAUCUCUAGGAGCUCCAUUUGUUAAUGUCUUCUAUUAACAUUAUUAUUUUCCAUUAAUCACUACUAAACAUUAAGAAGGCUUAUAAAACUUUUGAAUCUUUUAAGGCUCUAUCACCUUCAAUAUGGGAUUAAUUUUCCCACAUCAAUUAUCAUUUUAGGGAGGCACAAAAAACAAAUGAUGCACUGCAUCACAAACCUAGAAGAGCUUGUGAUAGAGUAAAGAGCUUAAAUCAAAGAAUUAAACAAGAAUUAAGAAGAGAGGAAGGCAAUUUUCAUUAAUGAAACAGGAAUACAGCACAAUCCUAUUACAAUAACCAGUGUAUUUAAUCAGGGAAUACUCGGAAUCCUUUAGUCCCAGCAAAAGCCGAAUUACAUAAGAGAAUACUCAAACAUGCCUUCCUAGUUCUCUAGGUCAGUUGUUUAUAGAUUCUUCAGCCAAUGUAACAGCACCCAUUCUGUUAUCCAGCUCAGCAGCAUUCCUCUUUCCAGAAUACUCCACUGGCCCAUCUGUUACAGCUUCCUUGAAUCUCCUUCUGGUAUAUACUCUAAGCUUCCUAGGCAUUAGUUCACACGUGCCUGCUGCCCUACACUCAUAAGAGUUCGCAAGUAAAUGCUAUAGAAAACCAACAAUAUUUCACAUAUAUUUAGAUUAUUCUUUCAUACUUGAGCAUUUUCUAACUUGUAAUUACUCAUUAGCUAAUCUAGGUACAGAGUGAAGCAAAGUACCCUAAAAAGAAUGGUAUAUGAUGAGAUCUCUUGAAAAGUUGAAUUGAAGCUGGUAUUUCUUAAGAUAUUCUUUUUCUUGUCCCACAUCAGGAACACAUGACAAGGUGUUUUGUCUCCUUACCUAUUUAAGCAUGUGGUGAGGUGUUAGAUUUGAUCAGCUAAUGAUGGUCCUCUUUAGAUGAGGCAUAGUUAUUAAAGGUGCACUAAAGCACUAGAGGGUCCUGGAACUUAGACGUAAGACCCUAGACGCAAGACCCAAGAUGCGUGCUUGAGUGAGAUAAAGUGUAAAAAUAAGAUUUUUCUUAUCUAGACUGGUCUAUUAUAAAUUCAUGAUGUAAAAUAUAUGGGGAAAAACCUAUCAAAUAUAUGAGUUCCAUAUAUUUAUGUUUUGAAUCCAUAAUAGAUUGGGUCUAGACAAAAAUUUCUUAUAAAAAUAUGGAAAAUUUAUCCAAAAAAAAAUAGAUAUAUAUAAUUUAUAUAACAAAUUGCAUUAUAAGAAAAUGAAAAAUAAUAAAUAUAUGCACUUGCUGAAUUAUUUGUUCAUAUGGAAUAAUAAAUCAUAUGAUAUGCACAUUUACUUUUUUUUCCCCCUUUUGUUUUGACAUGUAAUAUUACUUUAGCUUCAUGAGUCAUGACUAAGAAAAAUUAUUAUUUUUUUUUUCAUUUUUGGUGAAAUACAUAUUUAUUUUGCAAAAUAAAUUAUUCCAACACUAUUUUAAUAAUUAAUUUAUUAAAAUGCAAAAUUUACAUGUAUGGCGUUUAAUUCAUUUAUUAGAUUUUCUUGUCAUCUCAAUCUUAAAUCAAUAAAAUUUUUCAUAUUUUUUUCAUUUUCUACAAGUAGUCUUCUUCUUCUUCUUUGUUCAAUACUAAGAGACCAAUAAUGGUUACUGUCGAGGCUUACCCUUAUUGGCCAACAUGAAUCUUUUCGAUCAAUUUCUUCUUCUUCUUCUUCUUCUUCUUCUUCUUCUUCUUCUUCUGCUUCUUCUUCUUUGCAGUCAUUGGCUCUCCCAACUUGCUUCAUGGCUUUAUUAGGGCUAAUUGGGUUUGCAUGCAUAAGGCACAUCCACAUGUCGCCUGCCUUUUGGUGAUCCAGAUGCUCUGCUGCUAGCUUCCAUCACCUCUUGUCUUAGGCGCGCCUUUCAUAACUCUGAAAUGAAAUUCAAGAAGGUGAUCUAAUUAGGGGUUCAGAUGAUCUGGAGAAACUAGAAGAGUGAACUGCUGCUUUUGGAUUGGUGGAUCCUGCUUUGCUGUUGCAAUGCUGUUUUUCGUAAUCCUCAUUUUGGUGUCUGAUCUCCUUCAGCAUUGCUGUUACAUCUUUCAUUGUGGGUCGUUCCCCUGGGGAAGGGUUCACACAGAGUAGCGCCACCCCAAGCACCUGAAGCAUUUCUUGAAGCUGAGUGCCUGAUCGAAGAAGUAGCUGCUGGUCUAGAAUUGUUGUGAAUUCUCUUUUUCUUUCCCGGAGUUCUUUGUUGACCCAAGCUAAAAUGUGGGCACCUUCAGGAAUCCUGUUGUCAGUUGGUUCUUUCCCUGUUAACACUUCCAGAAGAACUACACCAUAGCUGAACACAUCACUCUUCUCUGUGAUUCUGAAACUGUAUCCAUAUUCUGCAAUUUGCAAAUGAAGUUAGCUCUCUACAUCACAUUAUUAUAAGUAUGUUGUGUUUUGGGAUUUGACAAUUUUGAAAAUUUUGAACUUAAAAUUUGUGAAA